UACGUAGGGACCAAGCGUUUGUUCGGAUUUACUGGGCGUAAAGGGCGCGUAGGCGGCAAUUUCAAGUCAUCUGUGAAAUCUCCGGGCUUAACCCGGAACGGUCAGGUGAUACUGUUUUGCUAGAGUGCGGAAGGGGCAAUCGGAAUUCUCGGUGUAGCGGUGAAAUGCGUAGAUAUCGAGAGGAACACCAGAGGUGAAGACGGGUUGCUGGGCCGACACUGACGCUGACAGCGCGAAAGCCAGGGGAGCAAACGGG
rnacentral:rRNA from 1 species